rnacentral:rRNA from 1 species
GAUGGAGCACGCCGCGUGAGUGAGAAGGUCUUCGGAUCGUAAAACUCUGUUGUUAGAGAAGAACACGAGUGAGAGUAACUGUUCAUUCGAUGACGGUAUCUAACCAGCAAGUCACGGCUAACUACGUGCCAGCAGCCGCGGUAA